rnacentral:rRNA from 1 species
GAUGAACGCUGGCGGCGUGCUUAACACAUGCAAGUCGAACGAGAAGUGAAGACGGAUACCUUCGGGCGGAAGGCUUUAUUUCGAGUGGCGGACGGGUGAGUAACGCGUGGGUAACCUGCCUCAUACAGGGGGAUAACAGUUGGAAACGACUGUUAAUACCGCAUAAGACCACAGCACCGCAUGGUGCGGGGGUAAAAACUCCGGUGGUAUGAGAUGGACCCGCGUUCGAUUAGCCAGUUGGCGGGGUAACGGCCCACCAAAGCGACGAUCGAUAGCCGAUCUGAGAGGAUGACCGGCCACAUUGGGACUGAGACACGGCCCAAACUCCUACGGGAGGCAGCAGUGGGGAAUAUUGCACAAUGGGGGAAACCCUGAUGCAGCGACGCCGCGUGAGUGAAGAAGUAUUUCGGUAUGUAAAGCUCUAUCAGCAGGGAAGAAAAUGACGGUACCUGAGUAAGAAGCCCCGGCUAACUACGUG